UACAGAGGUCUCAAGCGUUGUUCGGAUUCAUUGGGCGUAAAGGGUGCGUAGGCGGCGCGGUAAGUCGGGUGUGAAAUCUCGGGGCUUAACUCCGAAACUGCAUUCGAUACUGCCGUGCUUGAGGACUGGAGAGGAGACUGGAAUUUACGGUGUAGCGGUGAAAUGCGUAGAUAUCUGGAGGAACACCGAUGGCGAAGGCAGGUCUCUGGGCCGAUACUGACGCUGAGGAGCGAAAGCGUGGGGAGCGAACAGG
rnacentral:rRNA from 1 species